UUCCCAGGGCCUUAGGAUCCUG
rnacentral:rRNA from 1 species